rnacentral:rRNA from 1 species
UACGUAGGUGGCGAGCGUUGUCCGGAUUUACUGGGCGUAAAGAGCGCGCAGGCGGUCGUUCAAGUCGCGUGUGAAAGCCCCCGGCUCAACUGGGGAGGGUCACGCGAUACUGAUCGACUCGAAGGCAGGAGAGGGUAGUGGAAUUCCCGGUGUAGUGGUGAAAUGCGUAGAUAUCGGGAGGAACACCAGUGGCGAAGGCGGCGAUCUGGGCAGAUACUGACGCUGAGGUGCGAAAGCGUGGGGAGCAAACAGG